GAUAAACGCUGGCGGUGUGCUUUAUGCAUGCAAGUCGAACGGGUUCCGCAAGGAACCAGUGGCAGACGGGUGAGCAACACGUAAGCGACCUGCCCUAAAGUGGGGAACAACUCCUAGAAAUGGGAGCUAAUACCGCAUGUGAUCUUACUUUUAAACUUGUAAGAUUAAAGCCGUAAGGCGCUUUUGGAGGGGCUUGCGUCCGAUUAGAUAGUUGGUGGGGUAACGGCCUACCAAGUCGACGAUCGGUAGCUGGUUUGAGAGGACGACCAGCCACACGGGGACUGAGACACGGCCCCGACUCCUACGGGUGGCAG
rnacentral:rRNA from 1 species